CAAAAAAAUGACUUAGGCACUUAUGCUAUGAAGCUAACGAUAUACUCGUGCAACUCUAUUAGCACCAACCAACUAGUGACAUUUUGCACAACACAUAGAUCAUGAUAGUUAUCACGGGGAAAGUUAUCUAUAGAUACCAACAUGUUUGUGUAUGACACACAUGAAGACCUUUCAGCACAUAGUGAGAGUGGCAACUUGCACAAAAAAAAUGACUUACAAAACUAAAACAAAACCUAGAAACCCUUGUCCCUAACUUUUAAUAACUUCUAUUUCUCUCUUCCAAUCUCAAGCAUCGGAUGAUAGACAAGCUUUAGAAUUCGUACUCAAGUGGUUGAAACGCAAAGAAGAAGAGGAAAAGCAAGCACAGAAAAAAGCAGAAGGACAACAUGAGAUCAUCACCACAAGUGGAGAUAACAAAACAUAUUAUUGAGUCUGGAAGUGACGACACAGUUUGGAACAAAAUGAAGAGGGUGGAACAAUGUUAAUCCUGCCAUUUAUGAUUUGAUCAUAUAUUACUGAUAUCUCUGUUUGUAAUGAUGCACUUUGAUUACAAGGACUGUCCUUCACGGACUUACUAAGGCAGUUUUAACAUUUAUACAGGAUUUCUCUGCUCAGUAGAUUGAUUCAGUGCUGUUAUUAUAAAAUGUAUACUUUUAUUUUAUGUCCCAGAUUAACUGUCUCCCACAUCACUCUGUCCUCCUCCUCUUUGACCCUUGUUCCUUCAUUCUUUGUAAAGCUUCUUCAUGUUUGUCCUUUCAGUCCGAUUUUGUAAAUUAAGAGAACAAAAUUACACAAAAUAACUUUGACUAAAUUCUGUUUCUCUUCUUCGGUUUCAGAAUUUUUGACCGUUGUUCCUUCAUUCUUUGUAAAGCUUCUUCGUAUUUCUCCUUUCAGUCUCAAAAUUACACAAAGUAACUUUUAUUAAACCCUGUUUCUCUCCUCCAUCACUGAGGAAAACUGGGGUUCUGUGUUUUCUCUGAGUUUAACAUGUCUACACAGCUAAUGGUUUAAAUGUGGCAGUGGCUGAAGAUUUCUCUUGAGUCUAUCAUGUCGAUUCGGAGUUCAAACAGACAGAAAGCAGGUUGUUGGAACCAUAUUAUGAGAUGUGUGAACAUAAACCUUUAGUUCAUGAAAUACUGAUAUGAAAUAUUGUGUAAUCAAUCCCAGACUGUGGUGUGAAUAAGCUACACUGUAGUGAAGCAGAGUUUAGGUUCAGGAGGUCUGCACUAAGUGAGACUACGAUGAACAUCCAGUGAGUUUAACACAGUCUGUAACACUUCCUCUAUUUAACAGAAGUUUAUUCAUUUAUUACACAUGGAAAUAAAAACAUCCAUAGUUGUACUUUACUGUACCUUAGCACACCUAUCCCCCAGGUAAGGGUAAGAUCUACAAAUGAACAGCUAAUGCAAACAAACAUUACAGUUUGACAACCAAGAGACUUAAAAGUCAACCAAUAAAAAGUACUAACACCAAA